rnacentral:rRNA from 1 species
UACGAAGGGGGCUAGCGUCGCUCGGAAUCACUGGGCGUAAAGCGCACGUAGGCGGAUCUUUAAGUCAGGGGUGAAAUCCUGGAGCUCAACUCCAGAACUGCCUUUGAUACUGGGGAUCUCGAGUCCGGGAGAGGUGAGUGGAACUCCGAGUGUAGAGGUGAAAUUCGUAGAUAUUCGGAAGAACACCAGUGGCGAAGGCGGCUCACUGGCCCGGUACUGACGCUGAGGUGCGAAAGCGUGGGGAGCAAACAGG